rnacentral:lncRNA from 1 species
UGUUCAGAUCUCUUCAGCACUGUACAGUUAUACCAUAGUUUGGUUUCAAGUUUAUACAGACACACGUUUAGCCUUGGAUCUCCAAAACUGACUAUGUGCUAGUUUCUUAGGAAUUGAAGUAGCUUAGGAACUUCUCACUUCUCACAUGUGCUUUAACCAAAACUGCUUAUUCUAGAUGGCUAGGUUCGUGAGUUGGAUGGGUCUUAAGCCCAAAGCACUGAGGGAGACUUCUAUUUCAAAACCUUUGAUGCCAUUUUCCAAUUAAAAAUCUUGAGCAGAACCACCUCAAUCUGUCAGAAAUUUUCUAACGACGUUAAACCUCAAAAGGGAAGUUAGUUGUUCAGAUCUUCACUCAUUUUUUUCUCCAAGUGGCUCCUUCAUUAGUAUGCAAAUUUUCCACACCCUACCCUAGAGGCAAGCUCUGCAUACCAAGAAAUCUUGACAAACAUCAGGUUAUGAGACUUCCCCCCAAGAGAACAGGUGCCUAACAUCUUACACAACUAAGAGCAAAAGAGAGAAAAUCUCCAAGAGGAUAGGCUACAGUGGAGAUGAAGUCCCAGUAUGUUGCCUCGGCUGGUCGCAAACUCCUGAGCUCAAGUGAUCCUGCCACCUCGGCUUCUUAAAGUGCGGGUAGUACUUAAUUUGUCUAGAAAUGACAGUGUAAUGCCACUCUGGUCAAUGAGACCUAAGAGGAAGUCUACUGGAAGACAUCUGGGAAAGAUUUACCAUCCUGAAAAAAGACAUCUCUGGAGGCUGGGAAGUCUAAGAUCAAGGAUCUGGCAUAUGGCAAGGACUUUGCUGCAUCAUCAGAUGGAGGGAGACAAAAGGACAAAGAAGCAAAAGGGGUUCAAAUUUGCCUUAUUAUAAUGGCAUUAAGCUGGCUCGUGUAGGCAGAGCCCUCAUGGCCUAAUCACAUCUCAAAAGUCCCACCUCUUAAUACUGUUAC